CCUACGGGAGGCAGCAGUAGGGAAUUUUCGGCAAUGGGGGGAACCCUGACCGAGCAACGCCGCGUGAACGAAGAAGUUAUUCGUAAUGUAAAGUUCUUUUAGCAGGGAAGAAAGAGCAAUUUGACGGUAGCUGAAGAAUAAGCUCCGGCUAACUACGUGCCAGCAGCCGCGGUAAUACGUAGGGAGCGAGCGUUAUCCGGAAGUAUUGGGCGUAAAGGGUGAGUAGAUGGCAUAGUAAGUCUUUUGUAAAAAUGCUGGGCUCAACCCAGUAGAGCAAAAGAUACUGCAAAGCUAGAGUGUGACAGAGGCAAGUGGAACGAGAGGUGUAGCGGUAAAAUGCAUAAAUAU
rnacentral:rRNA from 1 species